rnacentral:tRNA from 1 species
AGGAUUUUAGUUUAAACUAAAACAUUUGAUUUGCAUUCAAAAAAUAUUAUAAUAAUACAUCUUA